UACGUAGGGGGCAAGCGUUGUCCGGAAUCAUUGGGCGUAAAGAGCGUGUAGGCGGCUUGGUAAGUCCGCUGUGAAAGUCCAGGGCUCAACCCUGGAAUGCCAGUGGAAACUGUCAAGCUAGAGUCCGGAAGAGGCGAGUGGAAUUCCUGGUGUAGCGGUGAAAUGCGCAGAUAUCAGGAGGAACACCAAUGGCGAAGGCAGCUCGCUGGGACGGUACUGACGCUGAGACGCGAAAGCGUGGGGAGCAAACAGG
rnacentral:rRNA from 1 species